rnacentral:rRNA from 1 species
UACAGAGGUCUCAAGCGUUGUUCGGAUUCAUUGGGCGUAAAGGGCGCGUAGGCGGCCUGUUAAGUCGAACGUGAAAUCCCCGGGCUCAACCCGGGAACUGCGUCCGAUACUGGCAGGCUUGAAUUCGGGAGAGGGAUGCGGAAUUCCAGGUGUAGCGGUGAAAUGCGUAGAUAUCUGGAGGAACACCGGUGGCGAAGGCGGCAUCCUGGACCGAGAUUGACGCUGAGGCGCGAAAGCCAGGGGAGCAAACGGG